ensembl:scaRNA
GGAACUGUUGCUGGUGUUAAUUGCAUUUGUUAGUUACAAUGCACCCAUAGACAAUCACAUACAUCAAGAUUGUGGGUUCCUGCUGACAGUCGGUAUAAUUGUCAGAUGUCCUGUGCAAUGGCUCGGGAAAUU